UAACACAGUACUUCCUUUAAACAUUCUGUAUAUUUAAACGUUUAUAUGCAUACUCUAUUUAAUUAACAAGGAUUUCAUCUUCAGAUUUACGGGUUUCAAUCAAUAUAAUUAUGGAAAUAGAAUUUCUAACAGAAAGUCAAGAUUACAGUGUAGCAGAAUUCUAUGAUAAAUUUCACACACACUUACCGGUUAUGGUGCAAGUUAAUCAAGGAUUUCAAGGACAUAUUAUUGAGGACACAUUUGGAAAAGGGGAGAUACUCUAUAUAGCUGCUAUAUCAAAGCAGAAACGUGUUGUGGCAAAUGUUCACACCAGGAAACAUUGCAGAGUUCUGAGUAUCCCUGAAGCCUAUUCAGAAAAUCUAUGUAUGAUAAAGCACGGAAAACGUAAGUUAAUCUUCAUAAG